CUCCUCUCCCUCCCCACGCCGCGUCCUUCGCCCUCCUCCCUGCGUCGCCUCCUUGCCCCGCCGCCGCGUCGCCUCAUCACCAGACCCGCGAUCACCGCCGCCCUCUCCAAUCUACCGCACCGCCAUCGCCGCUCCCUCUCUCUCCCCGCGUCACGCCAACCCCCAAUCCGUCGCCGUCCCCACACCGCGCCGCCGCCCCUCGCCUCUCCACCACGCCGGUCUCCUCUGCGAGCGCUGCCCACGAUUCGCCGCCGUCGCUCACAACUCGUCGCCGCCGGCUCCUCGCCUCUCCGCCGCCGUGACACCGAUGCCCGCCGCUCUACCCUUACUCUCGUUCGCGACGCCACCGAUCUUUGUAUGCCCGCCUCCGUGCCGCCAGAUCGCCGUCGCCUGGAGUCUUCGGGGAACAGCCUCAACGAAAAUCCGAGCACCGUCGUCGACGGCCAUCUCCGCCCAGCGUGCCUGAUCCCUGGAACAGCCUCGCGCGGUGCCAAAACCACAUCCGCCGCCGUCUUGAAGCUGGCCGUCCUCUCGCCAGGUGCCGUCAUUUGCCCCUGAUGUAUGGUUUAGAUACCCACGGACAAAAUCCCACAUGUACUAGCUCACUGCAUCAGCACCAGCUCCGAAGCUCCGAUCUGGCGGCGUCGUCGGCAUCCAGGCAAGACAUCAAGCCUACGCUGCACCAAGUAAGCUACCCGAUCUCUUAUUUUUCUCUUUAAUUUGCUUUCUUCAGCUCCUGUUUUGCCAUCUUUGUAAGAAUAAGAAAUCAUUAGGGGUGGCUGCAGUGGUGCAGGGGACCGAUGUGAUCCAUGCUGUCGCAAUCAGGUUACUAACUAAUAUCUAGCUCGCUGACCAAACAAAUUUGUGUUUUUGUGUAUCAGGCUUGUGCUGUGGAGUUUAAACAUGCUAAAAGUGUUUCAUUGAUUCUUUGAUUGCACCAAUGUGAUAUCCCUGAGUUAUUUGUGGCAUGGGUUUCAUUUUUUUUACUGCAAUCUGUUGGAAUAUAUGGAAAACGGUCCCAUUUCAAUGCCAUUUUUUAAGAUGCAGAAUAGCGUAAUGUAGUAUCUUUAUUGCAAGAAAUGAAUCACACUCUUACAGUAUUUUGAAAAGAUAAGAAUGUUCUCUUCUUGCUGCCUUAAUUUUGGCCUGCAUAUUUGUGUCCACAUGUAUCCCAUUAUUAAAUGGUGUUAUGAUUCCUGAAUUCCUCCGUCUAGCAUAUCCGUUGACAAAUUGGUCAAAUUUAGGCAUGAUUUUGCAUGUUUCAGACCUUCAGUAUAUAUAGUACGGUUAAUCUGAUGCAGAAUAGUCGCUGGAUUUAAAACCAAGUUCUAUCCUAAGUUUACAUCAAAUAGUGGUUAUUUAGAGAAGCGGGUAGACUGAAACAAUACAAUCAAUAUAUCUUACUUGCAAAUUUGACCUCCCUUUAUAGCAUUUGCUUGAUUGUGGCAACAUUUUUAGCUGUAGAAGUACUGGGAAGUAUGGCAGAUUGCCAAGUGGAUAAGCGGACUGCAGAUUGUUUUUUUGCUUCUGCGUAGCAGGCUGAAAAAUUGAGCAUCUCGCAGGUUAGGGGACUCUGCAGCCUUGGUGCUGCAAUUUGUUGAUCAAGGAGCAGCUGAGUAUGCAGGUUAAGGCAAUUUGAGCAUACUCUGCAUAAGAUGAGAGGAAGGCACAGGGGAGGGAGACUGAAAAUGAAGCUCGACGUUAAGAAAAUGGACUUUGAUGAGAGGACGAUGUGGAAAAUGGACUUUGAUGAUAGGGUGAUGCUGAAAAUCGACUUUGAUGUUAAAGAAAAUGGUUGAAAAUGAUAGGAUUUCAAAUGGUUCAAAAUGAUAGGAUUUCUCUGCAUACACUGCAUUUUGAUGGAGUUAUAUUUACAAAGGAUUAGGAUGAAAAAGCAUUCGCACUUUAUUUCCUUCGAUGAGAUAAAAUAGCUAACUGUACUUUAUUUCAGACAUUUGCAUAUGGGUUCAAUUUGUGUUGGAGCAAAGCUGCUAGAUCGUGUGAAUCACCCUGGUAAAUCUGGAGCUUUAUUUUCAGAUGUAUUUACUCUACAAAAACUGUCAGAGAACUAACUCAACUAUCGAUUUUAAUAACAAGAUGCUUUCAGUUUUAUCA